UACGAAGGGUGCAAACGUUGCUCGGAAUCAUUGGGCGUAAAGCGCACGUAGGCGGCUUCGCAAGUCGGAUGUGAAAUCCCACGGCUCAACCAUGGACGUGCAUUCGAAACUGCGGAGCUUGAGUAUGGAAGAGGGUCGCGGAAUUCCCGGUGUAGAGGUGAAAUUCGUAGAUAUCGGGAGGAACACCAGUGGCGAAGGCGGCGACCUGGGCCAAUACUGACGCUGAGGUGCGAAAGCGUGGGGAGCAAACAGG
rnacentral:rRNA from 1 species